AGGUACCAAUUUGAGAUUUCUAAAGAUAGCUAUAGCACUUGACUCAAGAUUUAAGAAUCUGAAGUACCUUCCAAAAUCUGAUUGGGAUGGGAUGUGGAACAUGCUUUCAGAAGCCGUAAAAGAGCAAUGCUCCAAUGCAGAAAAUACAGAACCCAAACCACCAAAAAAGAAAAUCAACUUUCUGCUGUCAUCUGACUCAGAUAAUUAAAAUGAACAUACAUCAGUCUGCUCUGC